GCCUUUCAUGGGGUGGGGUCCCUAAGAGGUACUGCAGACUAACUCCUCUUUUCAUCUCUUACCCCACCUGGAGGAAGAGGCAUGGCCAGGAUGGACACCAGAGCACAUUUCCCAGCAUUUCCAAGGGGAAAGGGCAGCAUCUCAGCAUGCAGACUCCAACAUGGCCACAGAAAGGUCGAGUGGCGCAGAGGAGCAGGCUGCUGCCCAGGCCCCUAGGGCCACUUCCAAAGGAGUGUGACCACGACUAGGUUGCUGUGGACUCACUCGCAUUACAGGGCUGCGCCCUAUACACCUGUUUGUAAAGGGUCCUCCUAGAAUGUAAUGGUGAGGGACCACCAAGCGGUGGACCAAGAAUUCCAAACAGACCAGCUCCCUGCCUUGCCAGGAAACCAGAUGUGGCCCAGAUGUCCAUAGCAGUUCCUCCCACAGGGUGGGACACCAGCUAUUCUGUGCAACCCCUCCCAACCCUUCUUCCAGGGUCAGGGAGGAAAGCUGGCAACCUCCGUUGUCCCUUCCCAUUUGGGUUGCUAGAAGGGAGCAACUCACUCAUCCUCCUCUUCCUGCCAAGAGCCACCUGGGCUUACCUCUCCAGCAGCCACCUAGGUUCAACCUGUGGUCUAACCUCAAGCCCUCUGCUGACAGGUUAAGUCAAGAUCGCCGGGAAGGAAGGCGUCCAGUUUCAUUACACACACAGACGUACACACACACCCGACACCGACCCACGCGCCUGGGCUCUGCACAGUGGCUAGACCCCAAAAAGCCGAUUCUCCUGUUCCCUCCGUGGUGGCCUCAGUCUUUUGGCGGCGCCCUCUGCUGGCCACUAGGAAGUGCAGGAAAAAACAGUCUGCCCAUAGACGCUUGGUGGAUCUGGGAAAGGGGACAAGAGGCUUUUCGUGCCCAGCCUCACGUACGUGCCCUGCCAUAGGCCGUGCCCCCACCCCCACACCCCUCACCCCACAGAACAAGCGCCUAGUGACUGCAGAAACAGACACCCAGUCAUGGCACACAAAGGCACCCACACCAGGCCAGCCAUCAUGGCUGCCCCCCUGGCAGCCACCCUGGAGGGCAGACAGAUGCCUUCACAAGCCAUUUUGUCUUUCUCCAGCUUGGUGCCAGGACUGGGGGUGGGGGAAAGGGUUUCUCCUGAGACUUCUCUGAGUAAGGGGGCCCACAGAGGGGUUUCCUUAUGUACCCCAGCUGUGGCCUCUUGCCCCCUCUCUCCUGUAACCCAUGUUUACAGAGGCCUCCAAGUGCUCUACCCUGCAUGGGGACCUGCCCAGGCGAGGGGGUCACAGGAGCCUCCAACCCAGGAGGGGAAGUGAGAGAUAAAGCCCCUAAGGAAGGGACACCUAAGUGCCUCCCCAACCAGGGUCUGUCCUUCGUGUCCCAAGUGUGUGUAGUGGAGGGAGUGCUCCCCAGUUUCCUGGGGGUUGAGGUGGGGCGGUAUUCUAAACCUUUGGAAAUGGAAUAGAACUACCUAAAGUAUAUGAAAUUAGAUACUACUUGGGACACUAUGUCUUGGUUCUGUAUGUCCUGGGACAGUGUAAAAAGUGAUCACAAAAUUUUCAACAUCACAGUCUAAAAUAAAAACCUGCCUCUUGUCUGCCU
ensembl:lncRNA novel transcript